UGCGGGCGCUGGCCGAGGAGGCGCGGCCGGUGUGGUCGCGGCUGCCGUUCGAGGCGGCGGCCCGCAAC
rnacentral:tRNA from 1 species